GAUGGACGCUAGCUACAGGCUUAACACAUGCAAGUCGAGGGGAAACGACAUUGAAGCUUGCUUCGAUGGUCGUCGACCGGCGCACGGGUGAGUAACGCGUAUCCAACCUGCCUCUGACCAAGGGAUAACCCGUCGAAAGUCGGCCUAAUACCUUAUGCAGUCGUCGGAAGUCAUCUGAUGACGACGAAAGAUUUCAUCGGUGAGAGAUGGGGAUGCGUCUGAUUAGCUUGUUGGCGGGGUAACGGCCCACCAAGGCAACGAUCAGUAGGGGUUCUGAGAGGAAGGUCCCCCACAUUGGAACUGAGACACGGUCCAAACUCCUACGGGAGGCAGCAGUGAGGAAUAUUGGUCAAUGGGCGAGAGCCUGAACCAGCCAAGUAGCGUGCAGGAGGACGGCCCUAUGGGUUGUAAACUGCUUUUAUGCGGGGAUAAAGUGAGGGACGUGUCCUUCAUUGCAGGAACCGCAUGAAUAAGGACCGGCUAAUUCCGUG
rnacentral:rRNA from 1 species